GCCGGGCGCGGUGGUGUGUGCUUGUAGUCCCAGCUACUCAGGAGGCUGAGGGGGGAGGAUCGCUUGAGCCCAGGAGUUCUGGGCUGUAGUGCGCUAUGCCGAUCGGGUGUCUGCACUAAGUUCGGCAUCAAUAUGGUAACCUCCCGGGAGCGGGGGACUACCAGGUUGCCUAAGGAGGGGUGAACUGACCCAGGUCGGAAACGGAGCAGGUCAAAACUCCCGUGCUGAUCAGUAGUGGGAUCACCCCUGUCAAUAGCCACUGCAUUCCAGCCUGGGCAACAUAGUGAGACCCCCUCUCU
rnacentral:SRP_RNA from 1 species